UACAGAGACUGCAAGCGUUUAUUCGGAUUCACUGGGCGUAAAGGGUGCGCAGGCGGUUGGGUGUGUCAGAUGUGAAAUCCCGAGGCUUAACCUCGGAACUGCGUCUGAAACUACUCGACUAGAGUACUGGAGGAGGGAAACGGAAUUCACGGUGUAGCAGUGAAAUGCGUAGAUAUCGUGAGGAACACCAGAGGCGAAGGCGG
rnacentral:rRNA from 1 species